rnacentral:rRNA from 1 species
UACGUAGGGUGCAAGCGUUGUCCGGAAUUAUUGGGCGUAAAGAGCUCGUAGGCGGUCAGUCGCGUCUGCUGUGAAAACUCGGGGCUUAACUCCGGGCCUGCAGUGGGUACGGGCUGACUAGAGUGCGGUAGGGGAGACUGGAAUUCCUGGUGUAGCGGUGAAAUGCGCAGAUAUCAGGAGGAACACCGGUGGCGAAGGCGGAUCUCUGGGCCGAUACUGACGCUGAGGAGCGAAAGCGUGGGGAGCGAACAGG